rnacentral:rRNA from 1 species
GACGAACGCUGGCGGCGUGCUUAACACAUGCAAGUCGAACGGAAAGGCCCUGCUUUUGUGGGGUGCUCGAGUGGCGAACGGGUGAGUAACACGUGAGUAACCUGCCCUUGACUUUGGGAUAACUUCAGGAAACUGGGGCUAAUACCGGAUAGGAGAUACUGCUGCAUGGUGGGGGUUGGAGAGUUUCGGCGGUUGGGGAUGGACUCGCGGCUUAUCAGCUUCUUGGUGGGGUAGUGGCUUACAAAGGCUUUGACGGGUAGCCGGCCUGGGAGGGUGACCGGCCACAUUGGGACUGAGGUACGGCCCAGACUGGUACGGGAGGCAGCAGGGGGGAAUAUUGCGGAGUGGGCGGAAGCCUGAUGCAGCAACGCUGCGUGCGGGAUGACGGCUUUCGGGGUGUAAACCGCUUUCGCCUGUGACGAAGCGGGAGUGACGGUAAUGGGUAAAGAAGCACCGGCUAACUACGUG